rnacentral:sRNA from 1 species
AUUCGGCUUAAUCUCUUAAUCGAGAACGGAGGAACCAAUCUUUUGGGGUUAAUUUUGCAGACAUGCAGAAGGGAUGAGAAAACUCUUUCGCCAUCCUACCCGUCAGCUAACUUCGUCGGCUAAAGCGAAGG